GGCCAGUCCCAUGAGAACAUGUAGACAGGUUCUACCGGACGGCCGUGUUGUGACAGCCUGCACAGCAUUUCCGAGCCCACGGAGGAGCAGGCAGCAGCAGCAACAAGCCAGACCUGUCCCAGGGUCUGUGCAUGAGAGCUCGCCAAGGUCCCCGUCUUCACUGGGUAUUUUAUCAUCUGUAAGAAUGACCCAUCCAGAUGCAAACCUGCAGGACAGCCUGACCCAGUGGGAGUCCUGCUGCUCCAACCAGAUCCGAGAUCCUGCCAGGGGCAAAGUGCUAAGAGUUCAAGGGACUCUGUCAAAUGCCAUUCUUCAGUGCCCUGCAGCCUGUCUCCCCCUCUCCAUCUCCUGCUGACCGCUACCCACCCACACGCAUAUUUCUCAUCUUCAA